rnacentral:rRNA from 1 species
GACGAACGUUGGCGGCGUGCCUAAUACAUGCAAGUAGAACGCUGAAGAGAGGAGCUUGCUCUUCUUGGAUGAGUUGCGAACGGGUGAGUAACGCGUAGGUAACCUGCCUUGUAGCGGGGGAUAACUAUUGGAAACGAUAGCUAAUACCGCAUAACAAUGGAUGACACAUGUCAUUUAUUUGAAAGGGGCAAUUGCUCCACUACAAGAUGGACCUGCGUUGUAUUAGCUAGUAGGUGAGGUAACGGCUCACCUAGGCGACGAUACAUAGCCGACCUGAGAGGGUGAUCGGCCACACUGGGACUGAGACACGGCCCAGACUCCUACGGGAGGCAGCAGUAGGGAAUCUUCGGCAAUGGGGGCAACCCUGACCGAGCAACGCCGCGUGAGUGAAGAAGGUUUUCGGAUCGUAAAGCUCUGUUGUAAGUCAAGAACGAGUGUGAGAGUGGAAAGUUCACACUGUGACGGUAGCUUACCAGAAAGGGACGGCUAACUACGUG